rnacentral:tRNA from 1 species
GCCCGGGUGGCGGAAUGGUAUACGCGCAGCGCUUAAAACGCUGUGGGCGA